rnacentral:rRNA from 1 species
CGGGUGAGUAAUGUAUGGGGAUCUGCCUGAUGGCGGGGGAUAACUACUGGAAACGGUAGCUAAUACCGCAUAAUGUCUACGGACCAAAGCGGGGGACCUCCGGGCCUCGCGCCAUCAGAUGAACCCAUAUGGGAUUAGCUAGUAGGUAAGGUAACGGCUUGCCUAGGCGACGAUCCCUAGCUGGUCUGAGAGGAUGAUCAGCCACACUGGGACUGAGACACGGCCCAG